rnacentral:rRNA from 1 species
ACCAAAGCUAGCUCAACAUAUUAAACAAAUACAAAAAUACACCAAAAUAAAAUAAAACAUUCACCUAACAUUAAAGUAUAGGAGAUAGAAAUUUUUAUCCUGACGCUAUAGAGAUAGUACCGUAAGGGAAAGAUGAAAGAAUAAAAUAAAAGUAAAAAAAAGCAAAGAUUACCCCUUCUACCUUUUGCAUAAUGGUUUAACCAGAAAAAAUCUAACAAAGAGAACUUUAGCUAGAUACCCCGAAACCAGACGAGCUACCUAUGAGCAGUUUAAAAGAACCAACUCAUCUAUGUGGCAAAAUAGUGAGAAGACUUGUAGGUAGAGGUGAAAAGCCUAACGAGCCUGGUGAUAGCUGGUUGUCCGAGAAAGAAUUUUAGUUCAACCUUAAAAAUACCCCAAAAACCCUAAAUUCCAAUGUAUUUUUAAGAGAUAGUCUAAAAAGGUACAGCUUUUUAGAAACGGAUACAACCUUGACUAGAGAGUAAAAUCUUAAUACUACCAUAGUAGGCCUAAAAGCAGCCAUCAAUUGAGAAAGCGUUAAAGCUCAACAAAUUCACCAACAUAAUCCCAAAAACUAAUAACAAACUCCUAGCCCAAUACCGGACUAAUCUAUUGAAACAUAGAAGCAAUAAUGUUAAUAUGAGUAACAAGAAGCCUUUCUCCUCGCACACGCUUACAUCAGUAACUAAUAAUAUACUGAUAAUUAACAAUCAAUAAACCAAAACAACACUAAAGCGUUUAUUAAUUAUAUUGUUAACCCAACACAGGAGUGCACCAAGGAAAGAUUAAAAGAAGUAAAAGGAACUCGGCAAACACAAACCCCGCCUGUUUACCAAAAACAUCACCUCUAGCAUUACUAGUAUUAGAGGCAAUGCCUGCCCAGUGACACCAGUUUAACGGCCGCGGUAUUCUGACCGUGCAAAGGUAGCAUAAUCACUUGUUCUCCAAAUAAGGACUUGUAUGAGUGGCCACACGAGGGUUUUACUGUCUCUUACUUCCAAUCAGUGAAAUUGACCUUCCCGUGAAGAGG